GGAGGAAGAGGUCUGGAUACGUCUCUAUCAAUGUGAAAUGGAACUCAACAUUCAUAAUACAUAUCAUCAAGUGGACUCUGCUGCUCUUGAUGUUGAUUUCUCUGUUUCUCCUGACUCUGUGGACGAGAAAGAAGAAAACUCUGAACUCCACCAC